CAAGGGAAGGUUCUCUACCUGGAGGUCCCUCUUUUUUGGAGUAUUUGGACACCUGUACCUGGAGAUCAUUGUGUUUCCUAUUGAAAAAGGAGGGGAAGCAGACAACAGGUCGUCUAUUCCCAGCUGAUGAAGGUUUCAAGAAAUUCCAGAAGUUAAACUCUUACCACUCUCAGCAAGCAUUUUUUUGGAGUGUCCAGUUUGAGGUAAGACAGGACUCUCAGACAUGCAUUCUUAAAGUGGAAUACCCCAUGCAGUCUGUUUUCCUGAAGGAUUUACCACUGCAGUUUUUCAUACUAUGUGGGAAUAGUUGGAUCAUCAUAUGGAAGCAGCAGAAGGAGGUGAAAAAAGAAGUGUGCUAUAUCUGCAAG
rnacentral:lncRNA from 1 species